GUCUACGGUCAUGCUACCCUGAACAAACCUGAUCCCGUCUGAUCUCGGAAGCUAAGCAGAGUUGGACCUGAUUAGUACUUGGAUGGGAGACCACCUAGGAAGACCAGGUGCCGUAGCUG
rnacentral:rRNA from 1 species